rnacentral:lncRNA from 1 species
GGCCAAACAAGGGUACGCCUUUGCUGUAAAACAAGAACAAGCCCGUCGGCGACGGCCCACGGCGACAGCCGACAUGGGGAACCAAGGCAGACUUUGUUGGCCUCUGAGUUGGUCGGUGCACGCGCAAGGCCGUCAUCACGGCAAGAGACUCGUGUGGGCGCCACCCCCCCCCCAGUGAUUGACAAAGGGAGGCGAAGAGGGGAAAACUAGAAAAAAAAGACAGGAGGGGGUCAGAGGUAGGGCGUCGACGGUGGCGUGGCGGCGUCAUUGUCGAGAGCCACAAGUGGCCCCGUGGGUCGCACCUCGACCAUGGCAACCGAGAUGCGGCCCGACGCAUGAUGACAGCGUGUAUAGUCCCAGUAAUCCGUGUCGUCAUCAUCGCCAGCGACGGGGUACCAUUUGUCGCCGUAUGGCGAGGCAUAGACGACGACGGCGUCGGAAGGGGCACCGACUGCCGCCGCGGCAAGGGCGACAAACUCGGUCAGCGACACGUGAGACGAAUGCAUAAAGUGCAUCAACGGGGAGCCAGAGUAGAGACCGCUGAUCGAGGCCGAUGUGCCGGGUUCAACAAUGUACGUCGUACAGCGGUCAUUCUUGUCGGCCUUUAGAUACCCGCGCCAGCCGAUCGCCAACUGGGCGGCAUCGCGCGCGAUGUCGAUGGCAUAGUAGGUCCCGAGUGCACGCACCCCCCAGAGAUCAUAGAGGUCGUCCACAAAUUGCAAUAUCUGCGGGCCGUGCCUGAGACAAUCGAGCAAGAUGCCAAAAUGGCGGUGGUUCUGGUCGAUACGCAGGCGAUCGCCGUCUGCUGCGGGCGACCAACCAGCGUCGCCGCGCGCCAUGCGUGCCAACAGUGAAUUGGGCGGCGAGGUCAGCGUCGAUCGGGCCACAUCCAUGUGCACGUCACCGUCGACGAGCAGGCGCAUCACAGGAUCAACAACACACGGCUGCUCUGUGCCGCCGUCGUUGUGCGCCGAGACGGUAGUCCCAAGAGGCCGGUCGGUCGUUGCAGGCUCUUGCACCGACAUUGCCCCGUACUCUUCCUUGUGUGUUGUUCCCUGAUUAUCGACACAUUGCGGCUCGAUGGGUGUCAGAAGCCUGCGCACGAUGGCGGCGUCAUAGGGGUGCAUAAAGGCAAGCGCCGUGUCGCCAUGUCUCAGGCAGUCGAGCAGACGGGCAAAGUGUUGUGGUUGUUCAUCGACAAAGUGCGCGUCGGUCGCGUCAGGGGCCGCCGCCAGGUAGGCAUGGGCACGAGAGCCCAGCGGCGCCGUACCGACGAGCGCCCGCUCCACAUGGCGGAUCGUGCCGCCCACGUUGAGGCACACAUAGUUGGGGCGCCUUUCGGCGGCGACGGUUCCUCUUGUGCGCUGCAUCUCCUCCAUAGACGAUGCCUGCAAAGCAAUGAAGAUGGUUUCUUUUGAGUGUGUAUGUGUGUGCUGCGUCAUUGGGCGCCGUGCGCCGCCCGCCGCGAUAGGUUCGACCCUUUUUCCUCCAACAAACACCACUGGCCCACUCUCGCCGCCUCGUACGCGCUUGUCAUUCUUUAUUCUUUACAUUUUUUCCGAGGGAAAUAAAUGGUCGACUGUCACGGCGGCAGAUCGGCGAGCGCCC